AAAGGUUUCUACAAAGUUUUACAGUUGUUUAAAAAAAGUGUUUUUUAACAACUGUACAACUGGUAUUCACCUACCUAAGUACUAGGCCACCUCAGACAAAGAAGUUAUUAUUUUUUUAUGUUUAGUACAGGUCAUCAGUUUAUAAUUGUUUUUAAAUGUCUCUAAUGAUUCUAUAUAUUGUUAUUGUUAAAUUUGGAAAUAUAGUAAUUUGAUUGAUUUGAUUAUGUUUAGCUGAUAUAUUUUUAAACCAUUGAGUCUAAUCAACACAGUCGCCACUGUAUUGGAAUUAUCUGUUCUCCCUGAGGAUAUUCAACAUGCUUUAUUUAAGAAUCUGGUUUUACACUAGGGUCAUUUGUAUUAGCUACAGAAGAGGACCUUGUCAAAUUAGGAUUUAGGAUGGCAGAAAGAAGGUUACUGCAGGAAUGGAUUAGGGCUCAACCGGUUGUUAAUGUUCCAGCUGGUAUGUUACUAAUAUGUUACCCCACAGUCUUUAUUGAGUAUUGGUGAGUCAGUUAUUGUUUCAUCCAGAAUAAAUAGCUGCACCACUACUAGUGUAAUCAGUUUCAAGAAUCUGCGAGUUGAUAAUAUUAUAUCAGAGCAGAGGCAGCAGCAUGGACCUAUUUGUGGUCAACGAUUGACACAAAAGUUAAAGUCAGGAGAGCGGAUUGAAAAAGCAGAAAUGUUAUUUCUAACAAAAGUUUGUGAGCGUUACCUGAUGAACAAUUGUGCUUAAAAAGAUAGGCCAAAUGCUACUGAGAAGCAGGACUUAUCAAAGUCAAUUAUUGACUGUUUUCCUAUCUUACACGAUGGAACAGCAAGUGGUUAUGGAUACUUCUUUGAUAGAAAAUCAUUUAGUGGAAAGUUGGAAUACUUUGUUCGAAGCCGGCGUUCAGAUUGUAAAGAUAUAACUACAUUGUGGAAACAUUCACCAUAAAAUAGAUUCUUAAAGAAUUCCAAAGUUGCAAUUUUAUAGAAACACGAUUGUAUGUUGAGUGGCAGAAAUACAAAUUUAAAAUUCUGGAGUAUGCCAAAUUGAAGCCCUCAUUGAAUACUCUAAUGUUUUCCUUAACGAACGAGUUAGAUGAAGACAAGAAAAGUGAACUUGCGGUUGAAUGUUUUGUUUGGCCUCUCCCUACCCCACCACAAAAAUCAGUUAAAAGGGCUCGUUCGCUACCGAAUGUGGUUAUGCAAAAUCUUUUCUUUGACUUCAAGGAUGACACAGUUGACUGUGCACUAAAGACACUGGAGGAUCGCGGGGUUAAACAACCGAUGCUGUUGCGCAUAUCUGAUGGAUAUUAUAUAAAGGUUGACAACACAGUUAUAACACUGCCUUGUUGCAGCUGCUUUAUGGAGGCAUUGGAGUUUUUAUUUAUGUCUUUUAAUGUUUUCGCCGUGGAAUAUCCAACUGAAUUAAGAUUUUUUUAUGGAUUUUUGGAGAAAGUCAUGGGACUUAAAUGUACUGUGAAAAGUUCAACCGUUGCUGAUUUGUUUACAAACAUAACUUUUCUUACAAAUGUAUAAAUCUCUUUAAAUCCCAGAUGAGUUUAAAUAUGCAUUAUUCGUUUU